GUAGGCGUAGUGUAGUGGCUAUCAAGUCUGCUUUACACGCAGAAGGUCGCCGGGUCGAACCCGGCUGUUAACA
rnacentral:tRNA from 1 species